UCCCAACAAAUCUCUUCCUUCUUCGUCGUCAUCUCUUCUUUCUCCCUCGAUUUCGAACAAUGAUUACUCAAAAUCAACUCAAAGGAAAAAGAUACCUAUAUCUCCAUGACUCUAUUACUCAAAUGAAAUCUAAAAUCCAAAAUCAAAUCAUCAUCACCUACCACCUUUUCCAGAGAAUGAUCUCCCAAAAUCAUCAAACACCUUCCUAAUUCAAUCAUCAUCACUUGCAAAGGUUUCCAGAAUAAAAGUUUUGAGGUCAAAUUCUUGGAUUUCAUCUUUGUACAACAGGGUUGGCUGGUUCAGUUGAUGUAGAGUCAUUAUUAAUAGGUAGAAGACUUCUGUAGCUGCUGCUGGUGGGCAGAGGAAGAAGAAGAAUGGAAAAGGUUAACGCGGAGGAAGAAUAUGUGGUACUAUUCUUUUCAAUGGGUUUAUUUCCUUCAACACUUGAAUUUAGUAAUGUAAAUAUAGGCAGGCUUAAUCUAAUGUUGUUACUAAUGACUUAAUGAAGGUGCCGGUUCAUGAGUUCAUACUAGCGGAACACUAACUGAUCACCUUUCCUGUAAACUUCUUUGCGAUACUUAUAUGAAUUGUGUUCCAUUAUUGGUGAUUUCUCAUUAUUUUUCUUUUCCCUAUUUUCUAUCAAUGAGUAUUGGUAUGAUAUUGUGAAUAGAUUUAUAUUUUUUUUAAAUGACAAUCAGCCUUGGGCAAUUUUUG